CGCUGGAUUAUGACUGAA
rnacentral:snRNA from 1 species